GUAAUCUCUCAAGGAAGCAAUUACACAGAUGGAGCGCUGAAUGAUGAGAACAGUGUCUCACGGACUCUAUGGACAUCUUGAGGGGGCAUCUGACAGGCCCGGUGACAUGCAGGAGUCACUGCCGAUGUUCUAUGUGGACCAAGCUAUGACUUGCGGGGACAUGUAGUCUACAACAAAGGGCAGGUUGGAGUUCCAAAUGAACGGUUUUCCUAAAGAGCCACAUCCUGGGAGUAUCAAUGAGAAACACCAUAGGGCUGUUUAUUUGGAGCAUGCUAGGUUGGAGGGCCCCUGCUGCUGAGAGGAUGACGACAGGAAGUGGAUGCCAUAGUGGUAAACUCAUGACUGUAUUAGAUAUCAUUUAGCACACUCAAAACGUAAGAGGAAGCUAUGUAUUGCUGCCAAGGAAGAUUUUACUGUAAUUAUCUUUGGAUGUCAUUUAAAUUAUGUAUUUACUAAAGGAUGCACAUGAGAAAUCAUG